rnacentral:rRNA from 1 species
AUGCAAGUCGAGGGGCAGCGAGGGAGUGGCAACACUUCUGUCGGCGACCGGCGCACGGGUGAGUAACGCGUAUGCAACCUACCCUUCACAGGGGGAUAACCGGGAGAAAUUCCGACUAAUACCGCAUACGUCCUCCGGGGGCAUCCCCGGGGGAUGAAAGAGUUAUCGGUGAAGGAUGGGCAUGCGUGAUAUUAGGUAGUUGGCGGGGCAACGGCCCACCAAGCCCACGAUAUCUAGGGGUUCUGAGAGGAAGGUCCCCCACAUUGGUACUGAGACACGGACCAAACUCCUACGGGAGGCAGCAGUGAGGAAUAUUGGUCAAUGGACGAGAGUCUGAACCAGCCAAGUCGCGUGAAGGAAGACGGAUCUAUGGUUUGUAAACUUCUUUAGUGCGGGAACAAAGCGGCGUCGUGACGCCGGAUGAGUGUACCGCAAGAAUAAGCAUCGGCUAACUCCGUGCCAGCAGCCGCGGUAAUACGGAGGAUGCGAGCGUUAUCCGGAUUUAUUGGGUUUAAAGGGAGCGCAGGCUGCGAGGCAAGUCAGCGGUCAAAUGUCGGGGCUCAACCCCGGCCUGCCGUUGAAACUGUUUUGCUAGAGUUCGAGUGAGGUAUGCGGAAUGCGUUGUGUAGCGGUGAAAUGCAUAGAUAUGACGCAGAACUCCGAUUGCGAAGGCAGCAUACCAACUCGCGACUGACGCUGAGGCUCGAAAGCGUGGGUAUCGAACAGGAUUAGAUACCCUGGUAGUCCACGCAGUAAACGAUGAAUACUAACUGUUCGGAGGGCGACCUCUGAGUGGUAAAGCGAAAGCGUUAAGUAUUCCACCUGGGGAGUACGCCGGC